rnacentral:rRNA from 1 species
UUCCGUAAGAUUCCGUAGGGUAACCUGCGGAAGGAUCAUUA